rnacentral:rRNA from 1 species
GACGAACGCUGGCGGCGUGCUUAACACAUGCAAGUCGAACGGAAAGGCCCUGCUUUUGUGGGGUGCUCGAGUGGCGAACGGGUGAGUAACACGUGAGUAACCUGCCCUUGACUUUGGGAUAACUUCAGGAAACUGGGGCUAAUACCGGAUAGGAGCUCCUGCUGCAUGGUGGGGGUUGGAAAGUUUCGGCGGUUGGGGAUGGACUCGCGGCUUAUCAGCUUGUUGGUGGGGUAGUGGCUUACCAAGGCUUUGACGGGUAGCCGGCCUGAGAGGGUGACCGGCCACAUUGGGACUGAGAUACGGCCCAGACUCCUACGGGAGGAAGCAGUGGGGAAUAUUGCACAAUGGGCGGAAGCCUGAUGCGGCAACGCCGCGUGCGGGAUGACGGCCUUCGGGUUGUAAACCGCUUUCGCCUGUGACGAAGCGUGAGUGACGGUAAUGGGUAAAGAAGCACCGGCUAACUACGUG